AAUGAUACCAAUAUAAAUUGA
rnacentral:snRNA from 1 species